rnacentral:rRNA from 1 species
GAUGAACGCUGGCGGUGUGCUUAAUACAUGCAAGUCGAACGAGGAGCCUUUGUAGCAAUACGAGGGUUUCCUAGUGGCGAACGGGUGCGUAACGCGUUGGUGACCUGCCCCGAAGAGGGGGAUAACAGUUCGAAAGAGCUGCUAAUACCCCAUGUGGUCCUGGAGAUUAGAUGCUCCUUGACUAAAGCCGCAAGGCACUUUGGGAGGGACCUGCGUACCAUCAGCUAGUUGGUAAGGUAAAAGCUUACCAAGGCGACGACGGGUAGGGGACCUGAGAGGGUGAUCCCCCACACUGGCACUGAAACACGGGCCAGACACCUACGGGUGGCAG